CAGGGGGUAGUUUAAUUAGAAUUUUGGCUUUGGGAGCCGAUGGUGAGGCUGAUGGUAGUCUCUUCCCUGA
rnacentral:tRNA from 1 species